rnacentral:rRNA from 1 species
UACGGAGGGGGCUAGCGUUGUUCGGAAUUACUGGGCGUAAAGCGCACGUAGGCGGCUUUGUAAGUCAGAGGUGAAAGCCUGGAGCUCAACUCCAGAACUGCCUUUGAAACUACAUCGCUAGAAUCAUGGAGAGGUUAGUGGAAUUCCGAGUGUAGAGGUGAAAUUCGUAGAUAUUCGGAAGAACACCAGUGGCGAAGGCGACUAACUGGACAUGUAUUGACGCUGAGGUGCGAAAGCGUGGGGAGCAAACAGG